AUUGAACGUUGGCGGCAUGCCUUACACAUGCAAGUCGAACGGCAGCACGGGUGCUUGCACCUGGUGGCGAGUGGCGAACGGGUGAGUAAUAUAUCGGAACGUACCUUAUUGUGGGGGAUAACGCAGCGAAAGCUGUGCUAAUACCGCAUAAUCCCUAAGGGGGAAAGCGGGGGACCGUAAGGCCUCGCGCAAUUAGAGCGGCAGAUAACUGAUUAGCUAGUUGGUGAGGUAAAGGCUCACCAAGGCAACGAUAAGUAGCUGGUCUGAGAGGACGAUCAGCCACACUGGGACUGAGACACGGCCCAGACUCCUACGGGAGGUAGCAGUGGGGAAUUUUGGACAAUGGGGGCAACCCUGAUCCAGCAAUGCCGCGUGAGUGAAGAAGGCCUUCGGGUUGUAAAGCUCUUUUGUCAGGGAAGAAACACCGGCUCUAACACAGUCCGGGAAUGACGGUACCUGAAGAAUAAGCACCGGCUAACUACGUGCCAGCAGCCGCAGUAA
rnacentral:rRNA from 1 species